UCCAACAGGCUAAUUAAAACUAAGCUUUGAGAUAUCCGAUGAUUAGUUUUGACGCAGUAUUUUCUGCUCAGUACUCUGGUUAUCAAUGUGAAAAAAUUCAGUGAAGCGCUGAUAAACGGUGGAAGGAACUGAGUAUCUUAAGUUAGCCAAGUGCCUCAUCAUCUAAUUAGUGACGUCCAUGGAUAAAUUAAAGAGA
rnacentral:ncRNA from 1 species